rnacentral:rRNA from 1 species
UACAGAGGGUGCAAGCGUUAAUCGGAAUUACUGGGCGUAAAGCGCGCGUAGGUGGUUCGUUAAGUUGGAUGUGAAAUCCCCGGGCUCAACCCGGGAACUGCGUCCGAUACUGGAAGGCUUGAAUCCGGGAGAGGGAUGCGGAAUUCCAGGUGUAGCGGUGAAAUGCGUAGAUAUCGGUAGGAACACCAGUGGCGAAGGCGGUCUCCUGGGGCAUUCUUGACGCUGAGGCGCGAAAGCUGGGGGAGCGAACGGG